rnacentral:rRNA from 1 species
GACGGGGGGGGCAAGUGUUGCUCGGAAUUAUUGGGCGUAAAGCGCACGUAGGCGGUUCGUUAAGUCGGAUGUGAAAGCCCUCGGCUCAACUGAGGAAGUGCACCCGAAACUGGCGAGCUUGAGUACGAAAGAGGAUCGCGGAAUUCCCGGUGUAGAGGUGAAAUUCGUAGAUAUCGGGAGGAACACCGGUGGCGAAGGCGGCGAUCUGGGUCGAUACUGACGCUGAGGUGCGAAAGCGUGGGGAGCAAACAGG